UGGGGAAUAUUGGACAAUGGGGGCAACCCUGAUCCAGCCAUGCCGCGUGUGUGAAGAAGGCCUUUUGGUUGUAAAGCACUUUAAGCAGUGAAGAAGACUCCAUGGUUAAUACCCAUGGACGAUGACAUUAGCUGCAGAAUAAGCACCGGCUAACUCUGUGCCAGCAGCCGCGGUAAUACAGAGGGUGCAAGCGUUAAUCGGAAUUACUGGGCGUAAAGCGAGCGUAGGUGGCUUGAUAAGUCAGAUGUGAAAGCCCCGUGCUUAACCUGGGAACGGCAUCUGAUACUGUUAGGCUAGAGUAGGUGAGAGGAAGGUAGAAUUCCAGGUGUAGCGGUGAAAUGCGUAGAGAUCUGGAGGAAUACCGAUGGCGAAGGCAGCCUUCUGGCAUCAUACUGACACUGAGGUUCGAAAGCGUGGGUAGCAAACA
rnacentral:rRNA from 1 species